UGAGCCUAAUGAUAGUUUGACAAGGCUUUGGUAGAGGUUGUUGUGUUAGUAUUUCCAUGGGUAGUUUUAUGAGCCUAAUGAUAGUUUGACAAGGCUUUGGUAGAGGUUGUUGUGUUAGUAUUUCCAUGGGUAGUUUUAUGAGCCUAAUGAUAGUUUGACAAGGCUUUGGUAGAGGUUGUUGUGUUAGUAUUUCCAUGGGUAGUUUUAUGAGCCUAAUGAUAGUUUGACAAGGCUUUGGUAGAGGUUGUUGUGUUAGUAUUUCCAUGGGUAGUUUUAUGAGCCUAAUGAUAGUUUGACAAGGCUUUGGUAGAGGUUGUUGUGUUAGUAUUUCCAUGGGUAGUUUUAUGAGCCUAAUGAUAGUUUGACAAGGCUUUGGUAGAGGUUGUU